rnacentral:lncRNA from 1 species
AUUUUUUUUUCUUCCACAGUGAUAGUUCUUUAUGAGGCAGACAGAGCACCAGAGAAUAUCCAGCACUUGAUCAAAUGGAUCAUGGACUGUUACACUGAUUGUUGUAAGCUAAUCCUCUGCUGUGACGAUGAUGUGGACGUGCUCGAAUCUGUCAGAAAUCGAUGCAAAGUUAUAAAUGUCAAUGCUCCCGCCACUCAUGAAGUACGUGCAGAAAAUAAAAUAAAAAUUGAAACAUGAUCAUUUUAGCUUGAUGAACACUCAAAACUGAAAAACCAUGAAUUUCUGGCAGAUCAUGGAGGUUCUUGUUCAUAUAGCGAAGAAAGAAGAGUUUGAUCUACCGAUGAAUUUCGCUGCUAAGAUUGCCACAAAAUCCAAGGACUUGAGAAGGGCAAUCAUGGCACUUGAAGCUUGCAGAGCACACAAGUAAGAGACUAUUAAAGGGUUAAACACAUUACAUCUUACACAUUCAUUCAACUAAAAAGAAAUGUUUUUUGCAGUUAUCCUUUUGCUAAUGAUCAGCCGAUUCCAAUCAGUUGGGAAGAGGUGUUGGUCGAAAUUGCCAACGAAAUCAUGGCUGAUCCAUCCCCUAAGAGGUCUGUAUAUUUCUUCAUUGUCAUGUGUAGACCAAUGAUGAAUGAAACUCGUCAAGUAAAAGAUGUGCAUACCUGUUUUGAACUAUUAUUUCGGCAGGCUGUUUCUGGUAAGAGGGAAGUUGCAGAAGCUUCUUGUGGAUUUUGUGCAUCCUCUACUUAUCCUUCAGGUAAACUACCACACACACGCACCCACCAUUGUUGCUGCUGUUUUUC